rnacentral:rRNA from 1 species
GAGUGGCGGACGGGUGAGUAACACGUAGGUAACCUCCCCAGAAGUGGGGGACAACAUUUGGAAACAGAUGCUAAUACCGCAUAACAGCGUUGUUCGCAUGAACAACGCUUAAAAGAUGGCUUCUCGCUAUCACUUCUGGAUGGACCUGCGGUGCAUUAGCUUGUUGGUGGGGUAACGGCCUACCAAGGCGAUGAUGCAUAGCCGAGUUGAGAGACUGAUCGGCCACAAUGGGACUGAGACACGGCCCAUACUCCUACGGGAGGCAGCAGUAGGGAAUCUUCCACAAUGGGCGCAAGCCUGAUGGAGCAACACCGCGUGAGUGAAGAAGGGUUUCGGCUCGUAAAGCUCUGUUGUUAAAGAAGAACACGUAUGAGAGUAACUGUUCAUACGUUGACGGUAUUUAACCAGAAAGUCACGGCUAACUACGUGCCAGCAGCCGCGGUAAUACGUAGGUGGCAAGCGUUAUCCGGAUUUAUUGGGCGUAAAGAGAGUGCAGGCGGUUUUCUAAGUCUGAUGUGAAAGCCUUCGGCUUAACCGGAGAAGUGCAUCGGAAACUGGAUAACUUGAGUGCAGAAGAGGGUAGUGGAACUCCAUGUGUAGCGGUGGAAUGCGUAGAUAUAUGGAAGAACACCAGUGGCGAAGGCGGCUACCUGGUCUG